rnacentral:rRNA from 1 species
CCUACGGGUGGCAGCAGUAGGGAAUUUUGCGCAAUGGGCGCAAGCCUGACGCAGCAACGCCGCGUGAACGAGACGCCCUUCGGGGUGUAAAGUUCUGUCAGUUGCGACGAAAAAUGACGGUACCCAUAGAGGAAGCACCGGCUAACUCCGUGCCAGCAGCGGCGGUAAUACGGAGGGUGCAAGCGUUGUCCGGAAUCAUUGGGCGUAAAGCGUGCGUAGGCGGCAUGUAAAGUCAGGGGUUAAAGGCGCAGGCUCAACUUGGGUAUGGCACCUGAUACUGGCAAGCUGGAAUUCAGUAGAGGUAAAGGGAAUGCAUGGUGUAGCGGUGAAAUGCUUAGAGAUCAGGAGGAACAUCGGUGGCGAAAGCGCUUUACUGGGCCGUAAUUGACGCUGAGGAACGAAAGCGAGGGUAGCAAAUGGGAUUAGAUACCCGAGUAGUC